UAGUGUUACAGCUCUUUUAGAAUUUGUCUGGUAGGUUUCCCAGUCCUCAUAGGAAGACCUCC
rnacentral:snRNA from 1 species